UACAGAGGUCUCAAGCGUUGUUCGGAUUCAUUGGGCGUAAAGGGUGCGUAGGCGGCGCGGUAAGUCGGGUGUGAAAUCUCGGAGCUUAACUCCGAAACUGCAUUCGAUACUGCCGUGCUUGAGGACUGGAGAGGAGACUGGAAUUUACGGUGUAGCGGUGAAAUGCGUAGAUAUCGUAAGGAAUACCAGUGGCGAAGGCGGCCUUCUGGACGGAUAC
rnacentral:rRNA from 1 species